UAUUGAUUAGAUGAAUAUGGUGAUG
rnacentral:piRNA from 1 species